rnacentral:rRNA from 1 species
CGCAUUAAGUGCCCCGCCUGGGGAGUACGGCCGCAAGGCUAAAACUCAAAGAAAUUGACGGGGGCCCGCACAAGCGGCGGAGCAUGCGGAUUAAUUCGAUGCAACGCGAAGAACCUUACCAAGGCUUGACAUAUACUGGACCGCAUCAGAGAUGGUGUUUCCCUUCGGGGCUGGUAUACAGGUGGUGCAUGGUUGUCGUCAGCUCGUGUCGUGAGAUGUUGGGUUAAGUCCCGCAACGAGCGCAACCCUCGUUCUAUGUUGCCAGCACGUUAUGGUGGGGACUCAUAGGAGACUGCCGGGGUCAACUCGGAGGAAGGUGGGGAUGACGUCAAAUCAUCAUGCCCCUUAUGUCUUGGGCUUCACGCAUGCUACAAUGGCCGGUACAGAGGGUUGCGAUACUGUGAGGUGGAGCUAAUCCCUAAAAGCCGGUCUCAGUUCGGAUUGGGGUCUGCAACUCGACCCCAUGAAGUCGGAGUCGCUAGUAAUCGCAGAUCAGCAACGCUGCGGUGAAUACGUUCCCGGGCCUUGUACACACCGCCCGUCAAGUCACGAAAGUUGGUAACACCCAAAGCCGGUGGCCUAACCUUUUGGAGGGAGCCGUCUAAGGUGGGAUUGGCGAUUGGGACUAAGUCGUAACAAGGUAGCCGUACCGGAAGGUGCGGCUGGAUCACCUCCUUU